rnacentral:rRNA from 1 species
CUACGGGAGGCACCAGUGGGGAAUAUUGGACAAUGGGGGAAACCCUGAUCCAGCAAUGCCGCGUGUGUGAAGAAGGCCUGCGGGUUGUAAAGCACUUUCGGUUGGGAGGACUGCUUCUAGCACUAAUAUUGUUGGAAGUUGACGUUACCUUCAGAAGAAGCACCGGCUAACUCCGUGCCAGCAGGCCGCGGUAAUACGGAGGGUGCAAGCGUUAAUCAGAAUUACUGGGCGUAAAGCGCGCGUAGGCGGCUAGAUCAGUCGGGUGUGAAAGCCCCGGGCUUAACCUGGGAACUGCAUCCGAUACUGUCUAGCUUGAGUACAGGAGAGGAGAGUGGAAUUCCACAUGUAGCGGUGAAAUGCGUAGAUAUGUGGAGGAACACCAAUGGCGAAGGCAGCUCUCUGGCCUGAUACUGACGCUGAGGUGCGAAAGCGUGGGGAGCAAACAGGAUUAGAUACCCGUGUAGUC